UGGGAAAGUAAAUGCGAUUCCAUAUGGUUAGGAAUUGUUUAUAGCUUUAAGGGCCCUAUAUCCAAGGAAGAUGAAGAACGCCAUCAAAAAUUGGUUGCCGAAAACGAGGAAUCACAAGUUUUCUGUGUAAAAUGUAGAAAAUAUGGAUAAAAGGAAAUACUCUUAUUUUAAUUGAAAUUUCUUGUUGCACUCCACUCGUG